rnacentral:rRNA from 1 species
UACGUAGGUGGCGAGCGUUGUCCGGAUUUACUGGGCGUAAAGAGCGCGCAGGCGGUCGUUCAAGUCGCGUGUGAAAGCCCCCGGCUCAACUGGGGAGGGUCACGCGAUACUGAUCGACUCGAAGGCAGGAGAGGGAAGUGGAAUUCCCGGUGUAGUGGUGAAAUGCGUAGAUAUCGGGAGGAACACCAGUGGCGAAGGCGGCUCACUGGGCUGACCUUGACGCUGAGGCGCGAAGGCGUGGGGAGCGAACGGG